GUCCGGUUACCUCAGUCGGUAGAGCAUCAGACGUUUAAUCUGAGGGGCGGGUGUUCGAAUCCCUUACUCGGGCU